rnacentral:rRNA from 1 species
GUUUACAGCCAUGCUACCCUGAACAAGCCUGAUCCCGUCUGAUGUCAGAAGCUAAGCAGAGUUGGGCCUGGUUAGUACUUAGAUGGGAGACCACCUAGGAAGACCAGGUGGUGUAGGUG